rnacentral:tRNA from 1 species
GGUGGUGUAGCUCAGCAGGUAGAGCGCUCCGCAGCUGCAUCACAGCGCGUUGAGGCCGCUGGUUCGAUUCCGGUCGCCACCC